GAAUGUUGAGUCCAAGCUGGGAGCCAUGGCGGCAAGCAUGGCCAGCAGAGCGGGGCCCGAGCGCUGCGGCCUGGCUUGCCUUGCACCCGUGCCACAAUGAUGACUCCAGCAGCCCCUGUCAGGCCAUUGCAGUAUCUGAUGGCCCACGCUGGGCACAAGUUCUUCCCAAUGGCCAGCGUAAACCUCCCUUGGCCCAGCUUCCAAGCCUUGUUGGCAUCUGCUCUCUCUUGUCCUUGCCCACCUGGCUGGCGCUGCCGUGUUGCUCGCUGGCCUGUCUGUGGGAGAAGAGGCUGUGCCAAUGAGUGCUGCUCAACUUGGAGGCCAUUCAAAGGAGGAUUUGAUUGUGCCUGCUGUGGGAAGAAGGAAUAUGCGUGCACAUGGCCACUUCCCAUAGGUUUUACCCCAGAUUUUCAUGAGCAGCUGUCCUAGUGAAAGUCAAGUCUGUUUUAGUGAGUAUUUGAGGGCUUCCAGAGCACAGUGCCAUCUCAGGGGAAUUCUGCUGGUUGAGUUCUACUGAGGCUUUGAGAUGAGUUGCAAAUCCUGAAAAUGUUCUCCUUGCCCAGGAAUUGCUUCGGUGUUACUUCACAUCAUCCAUUAAAAAUUUGAUGCCUGGAACAAA